GAUGAACGCUGGCGGCGUGCCUAAUACAUGCAAGUCGAGCGAACAGACGAGGAGCUUGCUCCUCUGACGUUAGCGGCGGACGGGUGAGUAACACGUGGAUAACCUACCUAUAAGACUGGGAUAACUUCGGGAAACCGGAGCUAAUACCGGAUAAUAUAUUGAACCGCAUGGUUCAAUAGUGAAAGACGGUUUUGCUGUCACUUAUAGAUGGAUCCGCGCCGCAUUAGCUAGUUGGUAAGGUAACGGCUUACCAAGGCAACGAUGCGUAGCCGACCUGAGAGGGUGAUCGGCCACACUGGAACUGAGACACGGUCCAGACUCCUACGGGAGGCAGCAGUAGGGAAUCUUCCGCAAUGGGCGAAAGCUUGACGGAGCAACGCCGCGUGAGUGAUGAAGGUCUUCGGAUCGUAAAACUCUGUUAUUAGGGAAGAACAAAUGUAUAAGUAACUAUGCACGUCUUGACGGUACCUAAUCAGAAAGCCACGGCUAACUACGUG
rnacentral:rRNA from 1 species